rnacentral:rRNA from 1 species
UACGAAGGGUGCAAGCGUUGUUCGGAUUUAUUGGGCGUAAAGCGCGCGUAGGCGGACCUGCAAGUCAGAUGUGAAAUCUCGGGGCUCAACCUCGAAACUGCGUCUGAAACUACAGGUCUAGAAUCUUGGAGGGGGAAGGGGAAUAUCGCAUGUAGGGGUAAAAUCCGUAGAUAUGCGAUGGAACACCAGAGGCGAAGGCGCCUUCCUGGACAAGUAUUGACGCUGAGGCGCGAAAGCGUGGGGAUCAAACAGG